rnacentral:rRNA from 1 species
UACGGGGGGGGCAAGCGUUGUUCGGAAUUACUGGGCGGAAAGGGCUCGUAGGUGGCCAACUAAGUCAGACGUGAAAUCCCUCGGCUUAACCGGGGAACUGCGUCUGAUACUGGACGGCUUGAGUUCGGGAGAGGGAUGCGGAAUUCCAGGUGUAGCGGUGAAAUGCGUAGAUAUCUGGAGGAACACCGGUGGCGAAGGCGGCAUCCUGGACCGACACUGACACUGAGGAGCGAAAGCCAGGGGAGCAAACGGG